rnacentral:rRNA from 1 species
GAUGAACGCUGGCGGCGUGCCUAAUACAUGCAAGUCGAGCGAACGUACGAGAAGCUUGCUUCUCUGAUGUUAGCGGCGGACGGGUGAGUAACACGUGGAUAACCUACCUAUAAGACUUGGAUAACUUCGGGAAACCGGAGCUAAUACCGGAUAAUAUUUUGAACCGCAUGGUUCAAAAGUGAAAGACUGUCUUGCUGUCACUUAUAGAUGUAUCCGCGCUGCAUUAGCUAGUUGGUAAGGUAACGGCUUACCAAGGCAACGAUGCAUAGCCGACCUGAGAGGGUGAUCGGCCACACUGGAACUGAGACACGGUCCAGACUCCUACGGGAGGCAGCAGUAGGGAAUCUUCCGCAAUGGGCGAAAGCCUGACGGAGCAACGCCGCGUGAGUGAUGAAGGUCUUCGGAUCGUAAAACUCUGUUAUUAGGGAAGAACAUAUGUGUAAGUAACUGUGCACAUCUUGACGGUACCUAAUCAGAAAGCCACGGCUAACUACGUG